AGUGUAAUUAAUCAUCAUCAUCAUUAUCAUCGUUAUUAUGGAACGAAAAUGACACAAAUACUCUUAACCAUUAUCUUUGAAAAAUAAAAAAAUAAGGGUAAAAUGGACAUUACAUCAUUUGGUGCAAAAAAUUGUGUAAAAUGGUGCAACACUAUUCAUGUUGCACCAUUUUGCACCAAAAUUUGGUGCAAUGGUGCAAUCGUUGGAGGAAGUUUGCACCAAAUUUUGGUGCAAUUCGGUGUAAUAGGGCAUGCAUUAGAGAUGCCCUUAUAGCGUUUGUACUUUUGGCUUUCAACAUUUUAUCUUUAUCUAGCUAAAAAGCUUCAUUUUUUCUUUAAUCUUUACUCUACCGUGUAUGUUCUUCUUUUGUUUAUCCUUCAGUUUUAGUUUAGGUAUGUUGUCAUCUUUAUACUUCUAUUGCCUUUCUUACUAUAAGUUAUUCUCCAUUUAAUUAUGCACAAGCUCAAUUGCAUCCAAUAAAAAAGGUUUUAAUCUGUUUAGUGUUAAGCACAAUGAAAAAUUAUAGAUAGUCUUCAAACCGACAACGUAAAUGAUUAUUUUUUUCUUCAAAAUGGCUAUGUAUCCACAUUCAAUUGUAACUUGCAAUCCACUACCCAAAACCUAUAGAAGUUUACUCCCUGGCUAGCCAACCAUAUCCACACAUGCCGUUCAAUUUGGAAUAGAUCUCUCCCAGUCUAGCUUCUUUACUUUGUAAAUGGAACUUUAGGAUAUUCUUUAUUGGAUGAGUGACUUCUUUUGACCGAUUCACAUUAAUCGAACAUUUGAUUUCAGUAGCUUGUAUCAUUUAGUUGGCUUACAUUUUUCUGCAUUUGUCAUAUUAACUCACGAUCCAUUUAUGUUCAAUUGGAUAAGUGAUUUAUAGGGUUUCUAUUAUGAUGAAUUUUAAAACAUCUAGGAUUCAGUGAGGAUCAUUUUCACCAAAUUGAAGUAGAAGCAAAAAAACCGGUUGAUGUAUGGUUAUUUUUAUUAUCUAAACUCUGCUUUUAAGAGAUUUUAGUGACUGCUUGGUUUACUUCCAAUUAACAUAUUGUUUUCAUUAGUAGUAUGUAAGUAGUCGGUCCAACAUAUUUAUGUUGCUGCUUUAGCUAAAAUAUUUGGGAAGAAUAAUUGAUUACUGAACUUUAUACUCAUGCUAAUAUAAUAUCACAAAUUCUUAUAAUUAUCUGAGCAAUGGAGCUCUGCAGAAAAUGCAAAAAGAACCCUAUUACUGUCACUAUAACUCUUGGCCGUGCCCCCUUGCAUUAUUUUUUAUGCCCUAUCAUAUGGAAAAUACUGAUUUAUGAUUGCUACCCUGUAAAGAUAGAUAUGGUUGCAUUACAUUAUCUGCUCAAACCAAUGUAUGUCUAAGUAGGUAAGCGAGAUUUGAUUUUUACUGAUAGUAAACCCAUUUCACUAAUGAAAUUGUUGGAUGCAAUACACGUGAUGGUUUUCUGUUCGGUUUUCUAGCAACACAAGCAUUUCCAAAUUUGUCGAAAUUGCAGUCCCUUUUAAAUAUCACUUUGCAAAACAGACAUGCCUUUUGGUGAAAUGGUUAUAUCCUCUUCAGUUCUCUGGCUUCAUCAGGUAUUUGGACCAAUUUUCUCUCUUUUACUAUUCUUUGGGGUGCAUUUCCAACUUGUUUGUACGGUAUAUAGAAUAACAUCAUGGCAUAUGGUUGCAGAAGCCUCAUUGAUACAAGAACUUUUUCCUCCUCCAAGCAGCAUAUGUCGUUCACUAUGGCUUUGAAGGUGCCACAAGCGGUCUAACACGCUUUUGGUAAUUGUUUCAACUUUUCUGAGAUGACUAUACAUCAUGCUAUUGGAUAUUUGUUUUGUGAUUUCUCAUCAUUCGAAGAUUUCUCCAUUUGCUUAUGUCAAAGUCUCGACUUCUUUCUAUAUUUCUUCUUUUAUAGUUAUCAUUUAAUUUAAGCUCUUCCGUGCUAGUUAGGGAUGGCAGUGGGGGCGGGUUCAGAGCGGGGCAGGGCGAUCGCCCCGCCGCAUUUGUUGCCCCGUUUAUUUUUUUAUUAUUUAUUUUAAAUUUUAAAUUAUGUUAUUAUUAGAGAAUAAAAUAUAAAUCCAAAAUUUUAAAAUUCAAAGUAAACACUUGAAAUAAACAAUAUUAAAUAUUAAACAAUUUCAAAUAAAAUUACGUUUUGACUAAAUUUUUUUUCUUUUGUAAUUAAUUAAAAUUUUACAUUUGUAUUUUAUUAUCUAAUAAUAAUAUAACUUGAAAUUUAAAAAAAAAAAUCAUGGGGCGGGGCACCCCCGUCCCGCCAACCCAUCGGGCCGGGUUUUUUUGCCCUAUUCGGGAUGGGGCCCUGCCGGGGCGGGGAGGGGCGGGUUUUUUUUGCCAUUAUUAGUGCUCGUAUGCUACCGUGAUUACCUUAUAGUAGCCAUGUAAAGACAAAAUCCGUAUAUUGACUAUUUUGUAUUCGCUUGUGGAAAGGAGAAUAUAUUUUGCACGUACAAAUUGGUUUAAAAUUCAACUCCUAAUGUUCCUUCUAAUUGUCCAACUUUGCUACAAGUUGCUUCGUUAUUCAAAUUAGUUUAAAACAUUAAUAUGUCCUCCCAUUUAUUUGACUUAACUAUGAUGCCAUACGGAUAUAUCUUCUUUUUUAUAGAUAUAUUCUUUUCUACAAAAAGCAUCACUCCAUCUUUUUGCAUUUCAUACUGCUAUUUUGGGUCAUUCAUCAGCUAAGAGUAUAUGAAGCUAAUCUAUCCACAAGCAUUUUACAUUAUUUCAUUAGGCGUAAGCUUAUUUUAAUUCUGUGUAUAUCUGAUCCCAUGUUCGAAUCAGUCUGUGUGGUUUCAUAGUUAAAAACUUCUAUGACUAAAAUAUCAAAUAUGUGCCAUAGUUCAUGUGCACAUAAAUACCUCCCUUCCUUAAAUAAUCUCACAUACAACGACAUUUAGGAAUAUGUGAUUAAGAGUGAAUUGAACGAUGAAUUUCAUUUAUAAAGUGUAUGUCAUACUACAGAUUAGUAAUUGCCUAAGAUUUAAAUGAAAACUUAACUUUUAGAAUAAUUCCAUUACUAUUCGAAACAUUAACACUAAUGGGAUUGCUUUCGCCCAUCACUGACAGAAUGUCCCUCUCAGUGAUUCGAUUUCUAAUGAGUGUCACCACACAUUUGUCACUCGUGAAAACUAUCAUUGUGGCCCAAAUUUUUCUUCCUUUAGAUGUAAUCAAUGAUAUUGGUAGGUUAAAUAUGGACCUCAAUAUUGCAGCAAAUAAAUUGGAGCAGAAGAUAAAUGAAAACACAAACAAAACUCAACGAAUUUUCAAUAUAUAUUCAGUAUGAUUAUGUAUACCUUGAAUGGAUUUUAAUUUACUUCAACUAAUUCAUUCAUCAUAUGAUUAUGUAUACCUUGAAUGAAUUUUAAUUUACUUCAACUAAUUCAUUCAUCAUUUAAUUUCAAUAACCAAAGGCAUUGUUUCAGGAGAUCAGCACUUAGUACUGUUGCUGCAGUGAUGCUGCUUAUAUAGUUAUAUUUCUUCUGGACCUCAGUAUGCGUUCUUAGACAUCUCAUAUUCUUUAACUGGAAUUAUGCGUUUUCUAUUGCUCAUUGGGUAGUUUUUAGGCACAUUUCUGUUUUGUUCUCCCUGUUUAGUCCUCUUACAUGUUUCUACACAAAUUAGCAUAAUCAAUUUUUAUUCAUUCUUGUUGCUAACUUUAUUGAUGACUAAGUUUAGUUAACCGAAAUUGUAAGUUUACUGCCUUUGAUUGUACUUUUUGGUGCAAAUUUCAUGAAGAAGUUGAAACUUUGAAGUAAAAAACAAGUUCUUUAACACGUUGAUUCCUCUUUAAAUAAGAGAUAAACCUAUUUAGAAGUUUUAAUUCAAAGUAAGUGUUCAGCUAACAAAUAUAAUGCAUUAAUAAAAUAUUGUUACCAGAAGGUUAAAGAAGAGAAAUUACCCAUGGUGAAAGAGGAGAAAGUGCCAAAGAGGAAAUGUCCGCAGAAGACAGACUCAAAUGUAAACAAAUUUGGAAAUGUAAAACUUUCACUUACUGCAUACAUAAUUUGCGACCACAAUUUCUUCCUGAAGGUCGUGUAGACUGAACAAUUUAUUUAUUGUGUUUGUGUUUAAAUUUAGUUACGACAUAUAUAUCUUCAAUGUACCUAGCCACGAAGAAGUAACCUGUAU
rnacentral:lncRNA from 1 species